CCUACGGGAGGCAGCAGUGAGGAAUAUUGGUCAAUGGCCGGAAGGCUGAACCAGCCAAGCCGCGUGAAGGACGACGGUGCCAAGCAUUGUAAACUUCUUUUGUCCAGGGACAAAAUCAGGCUCGAGAGCCUGACCGAGGGUACUUGAAGAAAAAGCAUCGGCUAACUCCGUGCCAGCCGCCGCGGUAAUACGGAGGAUGCGAGCGUUAUCCGGAUUUAUUGGGUUUAAAGGGUGCGUAGGCGGACUGUUAAGUCAGCGGUAAAAGCCCGGGGCUCAACCCCGGCGAGCCGUUGAAACUGGGUGUCUUGAGAUGUCGAGAGGUAUGCGGAAUGCGCAGUGUAGCGGUGAAAUGCUUAGAUAUUGCGCAGAACUCCGAUUGCGAAGGCAGCAUACCGGCGGCGAUCUGACGCUGAGGCACGAAAGCGUGGGUAUCGAACAGGAUUAGAUACCCCAGUAGUC
rnacentral:rRNA from 1 species